AUUGUUGUGAAAUUACAAUGCAGACUGCAUGGAAAAUGGCUGAAAGUGGAUGGAGCUCAUCAUUACCUCUGAGAAUAGAAGCCUGGGAUAUGCCCUCUAAGAAAAAACUCCAAAUGCAGCAGAUUAAGUUAGUGUCAUCCCGAUCGAUCAUCAUAAUAUCCAAGCAUAAUCCUGAAUGUACAUUUCUGACAAAAUCUGUCCAAAGGUGCAGUGAAAGAAUUUGUCCAGCCUGAUUCAUUAGCUUUUCCAAAAUGGCUUACUCACCAGAGCCAAGUUUUCCCACUUUCCCAGUCCUCUGAUUGACCUAUGAUUUCCCCCGUAAAUGCGAUACUCAGGUAGGUCUCUGUGGUAUGACCCACAGGUUAUGUUAAUGAGCAUUCUUCCCAUGAAGUAACUCAUGAGCAAAAACAGGAAUUAAAAAAAAAUUUUUCUCUCUUCAGGUUCACAUUAUAACUAAAGGUUACCACACUAAAAGUUGAACCCAGAGAGCUGACAGCAAGGAAACCCUUUACAGAUGAGAAGUCUUAAUUGGAAGACCGAGGAGAGAUAAGUGUUUCCAUGCCUACCAUGAGGCCCACAAGAUGACACAUGUUCAAGAUUGUAGUGACAAAAAAUGCCAAAUUAAGUUAAUGUAAAUAUUUAAAACUUAAAACUUCAUAGAUAAUUUUUUUCUUUUAUCAAGUGUGAAUAGAAGUAAGAUUCUUGUGAUUCUUGUCACUUUGCUCCUUCUUCUUUGGUUAGUGGGAACCUGGAAUAGCUACAGAAUCUUGGGAAAAUGGUUCCAGUUCCUCCACGCCAUUUCCUCAACUGCACAGCAGACAAUAAUGAUGUGCACAAGUCACAGCAUUUUCAUGAAUGUUAGAGUGCCUGGCACAUAAUAUGCCCCUCACAAUUAUAAACAAUUUCAUCCCUGUCUAUCUCUUCCCUUCCAUGAAAGUUUACUACCAACACUAAAGAGCUCGCCUCUGCAAACAGGGCUUUCUAGUUCUUAAAAAGACAUAUAUACUCCUUUCUGUUUCUUGGCUAGUUCUCAGUGAACUUUUUCUCCUAUUGAGGUGCCCUCCACUAAGCAGAGAGCUAGAGUUGUCAUCUCAAAGCAUGUCAGCCACAUUCCUAUGUGCUAUUUCUAAAAUUAUAAAUACUUCUCACUGCAGGGCUAAGACCUAAUUCCUGAAGGCUUGAGGUAAAAUUCUUCUUUCUCCCACUAACCCUUUUCUUUAACUCAGUGUUUGCUAAACUAUGAAACAAAAUAUAAUGUUAAACAGAUGAACUUCAUACUUAUAUUAAAUAAUAUUAAGCAGAUGAAAUAUAAAUAUAUAUAUAUUUAUACUAUGCAUACAUAAACUUGCCCCAAAGUUGACAUUUAAAUUGAAAAACCUGAAGGAAAAACCAUAACCUAUGAUUAUGUAUAUGUAUAUAUCUAUAUAUAUACAGACAUGUAUAAGUACAUACACUUUAUCUUAAUGUAUAUUCACGUGUACCUUCUCUUUAUACUGAUAGUAAUUAUACCUUCAGAAUAGUGAUAGUUUCCUUUCUAAUUAAACUUACUUAUGCAAAAGAAGUGUCUAUUAAAAGGAAAUAUUAAAUUAAAAUGGUACCAAUUGCACUUGAAUACAACCAAAUCGUGACAGAGAUGGUGAAUGACCAAGUUCUUUAAUACACAGCUCCCGCAUCAGAACCACCUGUGGUGCUUGUUAAAUAUGCAGACUCCCAGCCCCUUGACACCUACUGAUUCAGGAGCUAGGCAUGUGAUCCCGAAAUACCCAGGGGACUUUUUUGCACAUCGAAGUUUGAGAACUACCUAAGACACAGCACCUAGACAACAUUAGGCGUCUUUUGCACAAUUCUCUGCAUGGAUGUGAUUGGUUGUGCGUUCCAUGUCUGGACUCACAUGCUGUCUGCUUUGGUUUGUGGAGCACUGAAGAAAGACCAGUCAGUUCCCCUGGUCCCAAGUGGGAUAGAAGAUGAGGUCAAAGACAUCUGAGGCUAGGUACACAAUCACACCAAUUCAGUACACAAGCCACCAAGCGCAAAAGACCCGGACUCUUAAACCCCAGACACAACACAGUUCCAUUGUCACCGUUAGCAGUCAUCUUUCCCUUAGAGGGUACAAAUCAAUGAAUUCCCCAUCUGAAUAAACUUAAAUCUUCAUGGGUAAUGAUUUUUCCUUCAGAUUUUUCGACUUACAUAUCUUAACCUUGGGGCAAGUUUAUUCUUCUUUUAAAAGCUACGCAAUUCAGCAAAACUCCAUGCACAUAGCAGGGCCUACCACCUGACUGUUUAACCCAUAGUUUACCAUAGACAUACAUAGAAGGACCUCAUUACAUUUAUUGUGGAUAUCAGACCUUUACAUCUUCAAACACAGAUGCAAUAUUGUACCUUACUAUACAACUUGGUUGUCAAUAGUCCGAGCUUUGGUUUGUUUACUUAACUGAUAUAAUUUGAGUUUUGGUAUCUAGGAGAAACAUUGGUUAAAUCCAUAGAAAAGUAAUAGAUAGAACAAUGUCAUUACUGUCCUUUUUACACUAAUGGUUGUUUGAGAUUAAGUGUUCAAUAUUCAUUAACACAAAUACUGGCAACAUGAAGUCAAUGCAAACAAAAUUCCAUUUUCAAAGGAUGUUAUACAUCCUGUUGGAGUUACACACAAAGAUGUGGGUUGACAUCACAGGGUUAAAAAUGCACACAUACACACAGAAUUUAAAUUCAACAUUGAGUUCAAAGCUUAGAUUUUCUGGAUAUUUUUCUCAAGACUUCGUUUUACUUCUCUGUGCUUGGACAUUAUAAAAUACUGAGAAUGGACUGAUACAAGUCAGGAAACUUAAUAUUACAAAUUUAUGGGGAAAGGAUGGGCUAUUCAAUUACUAUUGCUGGGACAACUAGUUGUUUAUAUAAUAAAUUUUCCAUUUCACACUACUAUACAAGAUUAAAGAUCUAAAAGUAAAAUUGGUAAGUUUGAAACAUACAGGAAAAAACAUACGUUUGAACUUGGUUAGGAAGUCCUUAAAAUAUAAAAAGUCCAACCAAAAUUUUUUUAAAAAAAGACUCCAACUUUUAAAAGUAAAGACUAUAUACCAAAAGACACCAUACACAAUGUGAAAAAAUGAGCCGAACAAUGGAAGAACGAAUUUUUUUCUUACAUUUUAGUAUUAAAACAGAAUACCAGGCAAUAAAGUGAACCAGAUGCCACAUUUAUCAGCAUUGAUAAGUCUGAAAAAACAUUAUGUUGAGUGAAAAAGACAAGUUCCAGACCAAUAUGUACUUAUAAAAUGUGAACACAUUCAAAUCAAUCCAGUAUAUUUUUAUUACCAGGAUGCAAAUAUAUAUGGUAUAAAGCAUAAAAAAAUGCAACUCCACGAUAGUGGUUAUCUCUGAGGAAAGAGAAGGGGGCACUAACUAUAGUACAAUGUUUUAUUUCUUAAGAAGACUCUAAAGCAAGCACAGUGAAUGAUAGAUACUGGUGCAUGUUAUUUUCUGCAACUUGUAUGUUUGAACUAUUUCAUAAUUUUCUUUUUAAUUCAGUAAAAAGUAAGAGAGGGAGGGAGGAGGAAAGGAAGGAGAUUGGGCAAGAAUGAAAGAAAGGUAAACAAUAUAAACUGGCUUGAGUACAUAUAAGAUCUGAAAAAUGUCUAACUUCCUUGAAUAAAAUUAACCUCAGGAAACAUGCCCAGGCCACAAACUGAAGUCUGAGAACCAUGCACUUGUAUCUACUGUUAACUGUGUUUGCCUGCUUGUACUUGCCACACGCAGGCAAAACUUGCCAAAUAGUAUUUCCAAAGAACUCCAGUUAACAAUUCACAGUUUGGAAUCCCUACUAUUGUUUUUCCUAACCAGAAACAUUCCCUUGGCUAUAAACUUAUAUAGGUCCCACUCAAUAACUGACCACUUAGACCAUUUGUCUUUUCUCUCCCCAUGUUUUAAAUUCCCUGACCACAGAGGCAAGUGAUUUUCUUUUAUAAAGUAAAGUGGAGGACGGGAAGAGGUAAAAUUAAACCUUUAGUUCAAGACUGUACAUUUUGUGUUCAGCUAACAGGAAUUCAUGUAUUAUUUAAUAUUUUUAGAUCAUAACUAAAUACUGUAAUAUCAUUAACAAGGAAUAGACAAUGCUUAUUGUAUUACUCAAAAGCUCCUACCCAUUUCUGUAAAAUGUAUUAAUCACAACAUAGCAAUAUUUCCUGAAGGCAUGAUAUUCUGGGGCCAGUGGCAUUGUGCCUGAUCCCUUCCGGAUCCAACAGAUGACUUAAUGAUAUUCUUUCUAGCCUCACUAGCUUAACUAAAUUGUAAAAGACUGAAAUUUCAAAAAGGCAGUAAUUUAACAAAGUCAAUUUGACUUUAAUUUCUGAGCUGGUAUUUUAGUUCAACUCAAUGUCCAGCAGUUUCUGGCACAUACUAACUAUGCUCCCAGUAAAUAUUUGUGGAAGAAAAGCCAAAAGCAAGGGAGAAAUACAUUAGGAGGGCAAGAGACAGGCUGGUGUGAGUCCUGUUUCAAAGGUUAUUCAAAAUCACAGAUACAUGCAUCUCGCUAAGUCACUCACCUGCGGGAUCUUGCUGUGGCUCCCCUUGCUCUGAGGAUGAGGCCCAAUAGCCUAACACGGCUCCUUGAAGUUUGUCCACCCCAUUAGUGUCAUAUCUUACUGUUCCUUCUACAAUCAAACUUCCCAUAGGUAUAUCUAUUCCACUCUGAAUUACUCAAUCAUGUGCAGUUCCCCGUAUUAACCACCUUCUUUUCUCUCUCCCCUGUGGACCCAUGCACAUGCCAUGUCCUCUGCCUGAACCUUCUUCUCCUGGUUUUUGACCUGGCUAACCUUUAUUGUUUAGCUCCCAACUCAGAGGAUGCUUCUUUCCUAAUCCUCAAAUACUGGGUUAGGAGGGGCCCAGCAGGGCCUGCACAGUGCCCAGCAGAGGCUCUAUCCAUCUGCAUAGCAAGGGAUAUGCUAUGCUUCUUUCCUGGUCCAUCCCACCCACUGCCCCACCAGUAGAGAAACUCAAAGAGAGCUGUGCUUUGCUCACGAGUACCUCUCUGGCCCAGUGCAUGGCACAGAUCAGGUCUCAAUAAAUACUUGCUGAAUGAAUGAAUUUAAGUGUUUGUUUAUAGAUGAUCACUAUAGAAGACUAGGAGAGAAUAUUACUAAUGCAUUAGAAGUCACAGCCCAAUAUGAGACAGAACCUCUGAGAAGUUACAAUUUAAUUGAAAACUCUUUUCAAUUUACAAAAAUUGUAUCCAUACCCCAAUUUUUCAGGAACUCUACUACUAACACCAAAUAAUGUGAGAUGUGGGUAUAUUUAUUUGCAUAGUAUUUUCAGUGUAAUGCACAAUUUUGUUUUCCUGUGAAUGCAUGCUAUAAUGUGUUCACUGGGACAUUUCAAACUUCCCUUAAAUACUCUCAUAAAGUAAACUAAAAAGUCUACUUCAAUUUGCCCACACUCAAAAAAUCCAACUGAGGGCUAGGAUUUAUAUGUUUUAGUUCAAAUUGAAAAUAAGCCAUACACCAGGUACAAAGACUCUCCUCUUUCCAAUAUUUACAUGACAAUAAAGUUUUCCUUUGAGGAACAUUUAUUAUUUCUUCUUGAAGUAAAGAACUAUAAAACUCACAUCUGAGAAAGGUACUAAUCUUUUAAAAACAAUUCAACAAUUUAAAUAAUAGCUUUUAAAUUUGAAGUGUUUAAUGCAUAAAAAUAUUUUCUGGGUUUCUUUUUUUCAUUUUUUGCUGUUUCUACACACCACUAAAUACACCUAUUACCACAUAAUUCAGGACAGCGCCCCCUCCAAAAAAAUUAAACCUUCAUCUAAGAAAUCAAAGAAUUUCAGGAAGAAAUGUAACUGAGGCAAAAAUGUCUGUAAAUAUGUAGUAGUUAACACACUGCUAUAUUUACCAAUUUAUCCCAGCUCUGUGCUCCCCUUUUCCCAUAAUAAUUAGGUGAACAUGCAUGAGGCAUGUCACUCUACCAUCAGCCAAAUGAUGAAGAUUGCAACUGCUUGCCAGGCAAAAGCAUAUGUUGUAAACAAGUGGACAGUACAAUCAAAUAAAGCCAAACAAAAUCUGAUACUUUCCACAAAUGUCUAAAUUUCAGGCAGGAAGAGAGGAAAAUCAAGUGUUUUCUCCUGCAAAAAAACCCACACAUAUGCUUUAAGUACUGCUUGUGACAAGUUCAAGUAUCUAUCCCCCCAAAAGCCACAAGCUAAGUCCCAUCUGUAAUCUAAGGAUCCUUGUCUAAGGGUCAAGAAGAUGUUGAACAAAGACCCUUCAAGUUGAGGGUAACUUUACUCACCCCUUCCCCAUCUGUUCCUCCUACAUAUACACAGACCAGUGAGAUCACUGGUCUUCUGGGAACCUCAGGGCACCACUCCUUUCACUUCUUUUGUCCCAUGAACCAAGUCCCACCCUUUCAAGAAUAUGCUUCAUGCAUCAGAAGGUAUGUGAACAGAGCUCUUUGUUUCAAAGAAACAACUUUCCCUUUUAGGGUGAAGGUACCAUCAGAAGUCAAGACAAUCUAAUAACCACAUGGUUGUGCAAUAUCCAAGUUGUUACUGAGACGGAAAUAAAUCUGUAUGCCUGUCCUUCCUAACUCAAGAAUUAAACACUUUUCACACACUGAAUCAAUGGUGAGUCAGGAUUAUAGCCCAAGUCUACCAAACCCCACUACUUCUUUCCACUAUGGCUCACAGGUCCCAUGUGGGCAAAGAUUGCUGUCAAGGAGUUGUUAGAUCAUUGGUAAAACUGGUUUGAAAAGACAGCCCUCACUCUACAAACCCAGAACCUGUGAAGAAUUCCUUAUAUUCCUAAUCUCAGCCUUAAAGUUGGUUCUCAGUGACCACUAGAAUGAGAGCUCCAUGUGUACUUUGCUUGCCCUGUUCAUGGUUAAAGGUUCAGUGGCUUAGAACACUACCUGGUACAAAGCAGAUAUACAGUAAACCUUUGUUGGUUUUAUUGAUGAAUGUCUCAUGGCUUGUUCAGAGAUGCACUUGCUUCUCCAAAGUAACUGCUCUCUUUAGUUUGUGCAUUAAAAGCCUUAAUGGAUGGUCUUUAUGAUUCUUUAAAGUCACUCUCAGAAUAUGGGCAAGAAAGUGCGCAGGGCUGAAGAGGGACUAAUAAAAAAGCCAAGGCACUGAGAAAUCACUUCAAAGACAUAAUGAAAUAUACUUUCCAAUUAAAAAGCAUUUGUGGCUGGAUGACUGUGUUCCCCAAAACUGUCCACACUCCUAAUCUCUAAAACAUGAGUAUGCUGUAUCACGUGAAAAUGUACUUUACAGAUGUAAUAAAAGUUAUGGACAUUAAAA